rnacentral:miRNA from 1 species
AAACUCCGAGGGCAGGAAAAAG